AUGGUAAUUUUAUAAUUGCUUUUAGUUUUUUAUUAACAUGUGGGCUUUCUGCUCAGACUCCCUGCUUUUCAGAACUGGUAUCCACUUCCAGCCAAAGAUUAGCCUUUGCCCCAUGCUUCUCUACCACUGGAGUUACUUCAAACACCACCACCUAAAUAAAGCUCAGUUCCCACUGCACCAACAAGCCACAGCCGAGAGUUCUGUGCAACAAAUGCGUUUCUGAAGUUCCGGAAGCCUGGACAUAGCAGUAAUUCCAGGACAAGACAGUUGGACAGCCCGCGGGGGUGGGGGUCAGGAGGAAUGGCUCCCCAGACUCCUGAACAGAGGAUGGUGACCCAAUCAGGGAACACGUCUCAACCCAACAUUGAAAGGACAAAGUUGCGUCUGCAGGCUUCCUCUUAAUUCUAUGGAUCAUGCAAUAGUCUUUCAAGAAAUUAUCUUCUGCUUAGCUAGUCACUUCCUGUUGCUAGAACCAUGAAGAGGCCUGGUGAAAGAUGUUCAGUAUACUACCUGCAUCAGCUGCUACUGCUAUGUGACAAGCAAAUUUUCCAGAAACACUGACAUGGAAACAGGAUCUUUCUUCUCCUACUGUUUGUUCCUCGACUACAGUUAUAAUCCUCUAUUUGUGACAUCAUAAUUAGUUGCCACUGGAGAAGACGAUCGUGUCACAAAAGGAUUAGGACCUAAGUAUUUAAUGAAUGCCCACCAUUGAUGAGGCACUAUGCUAGAUGCAGAGGACACAGUAGUGAACAAGAUGUGUUUUCUAUUCUCCGGGGACUGACAGUACACAGAUGUAGACAGGCAAGUAAAUAGUAGGGCAUAAUGUGAUCGGAGUUGAGAUGCCAUAGGAGUGCCCCCUAUCUGAUUGAGAAGUCAGGUAAGCCUUUCCAGGGCUGAUGUCGCCACUGACUCCUAAAGAAUGAUCAAGAACCAGUAAAGUCACGUGCGGUCUAACGAGGCAUCCCAAGCAGCAGGAACAACAGCAUGUGCAAAGUCCCAGAGGCAAGAACGACAGUGGACACUGCAAUCCUACCAUCUAAUCUCCUCGAAUCCUUGAUGCA
rnacentral:lncRNA from 1 species